rnacentral:rRNA from 1 species
UACGAAGGGGGCUAGCGUUGCUCGGAAUCACUGGGCGUAAAGCGCACGUAGGCGGAUUCUUAAGUCAGGGGUGAAAUCCUGGAGCUCAACUCCAGAACUGCCUUUGAUACUGAGGGUCUUGAGUUCGGGAGAGGUGAGUGGAACUGCGAGUGUAGGAGGUGAAAUUCGUAGAUAUUCGCAAGAACACCAGUGGCGAAGGCGGCUCACUGGCCCGAUACUGACGCUGAGGCACGAAAGCGUGGGGAGCAAACAGGG